rnacentral:rRNA from 1 species
GUCUACCUACGGGGCGCAGCAGUAGGGAAUCUUUCACAAUGGGCGAAAGCCUGAUGGAGCAACGCCGCGUGAAGGAUGACGGCCCUACGGGUUGUAAACUUCUUUUGUCAGGGAGCAAUUGAGUCCACGUGUGGGCUUAGCGAGAGUACCUGAAGAAAAAGCAUCGGCUAACUCCGUGCCAGCAGCCGCGGUAAUACGGAGGAUGCGAGCGUUAUCCGGAUUUAUUGGGUUUAAAGGGUGCGUAGGCGGAAUAUCAAGUCAGCGGUAAAAAUUCGGGGCUCAACCCCGUCGUGCCGUU